AGCAGUGGGGAAUUUUCCGCAAUGGGCGAAAGCCUGACGGAGCAAUACCGCGUGAGGGAGGAAGGCUCUUGGGUUGUAAACCUCUUUUCUCAGGGAAGAACACAAUGACGGUACCUGAGGAAUCAGCAUCGGCUAACUCCGUGCCAGCAGCCGCGGUAAUACGGAGGAUGCAAGCGUUAUCCGGAAUGAUUGGGCGUAAAGCGUCCGCAGGUGGCAAUGUAAGUCUGCUGUUAAAGAGUGAGGCUCAACCUCAUAAAAGCAGUGGAAACUACAUAGCUAGAGUGCGUUCGGGGCAGAGGGAAUUCCUGGUGUAGCGGUGAAAUGCGUAGAUAUCAGGAAGAACACCGGUGGCGAAAGCGCUCUGCUAGGCCGCAACUGACACUGAGGGACGAAAGCUAGGGGAGCG
rnacentral:rRNA from 1 species